rnacentral:rRNA from 1 species
UCUACGGGGGGCAGCAGUGAGGAAUAUUGGUCAAUGGCCGGAAGGCUGAACCAGCCAUGCCGCGUGAAGGUCAGUGCCCUAUGGGCGUUAAACUUCUUUUGUGCGGGAGCAAUAAUGGUCACGUGUGGCCAGACGAGAGUACCGUACGAAUAAGCCUCGGCUAACGCCGUGCCAGCCGACGCGGUAAUACGGGAGAUGAAAACGUUAUCCGGAAUUAUUGGGUUUAAAGGGGUCUGAGGCUGUGAUGUAAGUUAGGGUGGUAAUGCCCCCGCUCAACGGGGUGAAGUGCCAUUGAUACUGCCUUGCUGGAAGGCGGAUGCCGUGGGAGGAAUGUGCGGUGUAGCGGUGAAAUGCAUAGAUAUCACACAGAACACCGAUUGCGAAGGCAUCUCACGAAUCCGCGAUUGACGCUGAUGAACGAAAGCGUGGGUAUCAAACAGGAUUAGAUACCCUUGUAGUC